UUAAAAUUGUCUAUUCUAGACUACAAAAAGUCUGCAUUCCAGGUAGGAAGAACCCUUGCCAAGAUUCUGCUUCUAGCUAUCUUGGAAUAUGUCCUCCUGUUAACCUGAUACCUUGCCUUGAAUAUCACCAAUAAUAAUAUUUUGUUCCUUAUUAAAUCCUCACUGUAUGUGCGCUUUGCAAAUGGCUCUAGCUUUGAAACGAAGUUCUUAUCAGUUUUGCGGGGAAGGGUAGAGGUAACCAAAAGGUAAAAUAUGUUAAGAUAUACACACCAAGUUUUGUUAUCUGUCUCUUAAAGCAUUUAAAGUAUUUUUCCGUUUUCUUUUUUUCAAUUCAAGGGUGACGUAUGUUACCUGUUUAGCCACCUGCCUGGAGGCGGGUAAAAACCCUAAGUACGCAGAGCCCCCGUUGCCUACAUGAAGGUAUUUUAUAAGUCCCGAGAAAUGGGAAAGCUUCCAAAAGGACGGCAAAGGGUAGACCACAUCGCUCCUUGCACUAGUAAGGAAGCAUUCCACGAGUCCGACUAACCUCAUCAGUUUUUAAAGGGGUGACGUAUGUUACCUGUUUAGCCACCUGCCUGGAGGCGGGUAAAAACCCUAAGUACGCAGAGCCCCCGUUGCCUACAUGAAGGUAUUUUAUAAGUCCCGAGAAAUGGGAAAGCUUCCAAAAGGACGGCAAAGGGUAGACCACAUCGCUCCUUGCACUAGUAAGGAAGCAUUCCACGAGUCCGACUAACCUCAUCAGUUUUUAAAGGGGUGACGUAUGUUACCUGUUUAGCCACCUGCCUGGAGGCGGGUAAAAACCCUAAGUACGCAGAGCCCCCGUUGCCUACAUGAAGGUAUUUUAUAAGUCCCGAGAAAUGGGAAAGCUUCCAAAAGGACGGCAAAGGGUAGACCACAUCGCUCCUUGCACUAGUAAGGAAGCAUUCCACGAGUCCGACUAACCUCAUCAGUUUUUAAAGGGUAAGUCUCUGUAAUCAAAAAGACCAGACAGGGUCUUCGAAGUCCACGAGUUUUGAUCGAGACCAAUAAAAGAUUCGGUAAUAAGCUAGCACUUUAUGCGUCGAUGUAAGUGUAAAAACCGAUCUGGGAACAUUAAUCCUAAUUAAACAGGGAGUGGAGGGUGUCCACAAGGUCAAUCUAAAAUAGGCCAUUUUGGUGUUUUUAUUCAUAAUUUAUCAUCAUCAUCAUCACAUAAGCCCGGUUAUUUUGGAUCAGAAAGAUUGGAGAUAUGUUUUGGUUGGUGAGCCCCCUCUGUCACUGUUUCGCCCUUACCAACGCUAUUGAGUUCGUAAACGUACGGAGUCGAGUCACGGAGUAGUGACGACCCCCUUAUUAAGCAUACCCGGCAAAAACGAUUAUCUGACUAUACCAUUCCUGCAAUAAUUUGAGUUUACACAGGAGGUUAAGGCCGACGCGUUAACGAACUCCGUACCUAAGGGGUAUUUUUCCAAGCGCUAAUAAGCGGUGAUAUCGUCAGAGGCCUUGCCCUCCUCAAACGGUAUUUGAGAAGGAGACAAGAGAAGCGUAAAAUCAGCAAAUUGGUAGCAUAAAAUGUGCAUGCCCGAGUCCCAACAUGUCUCCAACGAGACAACAGUAAAUUGCUGAUGCCAUUGGCGGUGUCACCGGGUACACAACGGCAGCAUUUAAGACCUUGUUGCAUAUGAGCUGACAAAACAUAAGCAUAAAGGCUAUAGUAAAAAAAAAUGAAGAUAAAUAUUAAAUUUGGAGACUCUAGCUAUUAUGACCUAAAAGAUUUUCUCAAUUCAGGAUUUCGUUAUCGGUUUGCAUCUAUUGCUUGAAAAAAGCUUAGAACAGAUUGACCCGCCAAUAGUGUUAAUUAAGAAUAUAUAUACUUAAUGGUGUCGAAGAUGCCUUCUACCUCUAAAAUUUUCAAUGACUUCAGCGUAUUAAAAUGAAACUAAAAUAGCAGCACAAAUUACAAUCAGAAUUGUAUUUCUAUUUGUAUGUGUACACAAGUAACCAGGAAUUCUUGCUUUUUGCGCUAGCUGCUACUCGGCUUUCCAACAAUCUCUUUAAAAGCCUCUAUAACCAAACAGCCUUGAAAUUGUUGUCGGGUUCCAAUUUAUUUUUCAUAAGUAAAACAGUAUUUAAUUUUGCUACCUAGUGUGGCUUAUAACAUUAGGGCUUAUAAUCGUAGUUUAUCCACGCUCCAAUUGUAAAUGAUAAGCUUUGCCGUACUACUAAAAUUUACUACUUCCCAACAAAAAAAGGAAUAACAAAGUUUUAAAGUAUAACCUGAUCACAUCAUCUGUUUCUUAAUAGGCCUAAUUCUAUGUUGCAUACCGUUAGCCCUUGCUAAAACAAGAAAUAACGGCUACCAGGGUGGCCAGUGUUGGCAGGGGAGAUAAUAAAUUAUGAAUCUUAGUUAGCCGAGCAGUAGUUUCAUGAGUGGCUUAAAGAGCAAGUAGAGUGGUUGAGGUUAUAAGACAGCCACUACACAGGGAAGCGGUCCUCGAUCUUAGCCACCCGCACAUCGGGUUGCAUCUACUAGGCCAGGCCGAGCUUUAAUAUAUUUCAUAUUAUCCCAAGAAAACAAAUUUGGUUCUUAUUACAUCAAUGGCGAUCAGAUCUAUCCUCUUGCGGUAUACCAACCCACAAAAAGCGAUAAUUUAUCCCUUUUUUAAAUAGUACAUUGUCGAUAUUAGUCAUUCAUUAUUUAUUAGCGAUGACCCUGUUGAAUUCUUCAAUAAGGUCAAAUGUCUGGGAGUAUUUUUGGUGUACAAUAACAGGUUGGUAAACAUUUUGAAUUAUUGUUAAAAUAAGAAAAGAAAACCCGGCAAUAUAUUUGCAAGGCAUGUACAACAAGUCGCAGAAACAAAUUUAGUUAAAAAUAAAAACAAGUAAGAAACUGUAGUUGUGAGUUCCCAACUGUUGGAUACACUGAUUCCUAUUCUACCAACACCAAAUACAGCCCGAGAUAAGAGCUCGUUUGCUUAAACAGUAAUGGAAACAAAUUAAAACAAGUAAGAGAUUCUAGCCGGACAUCCAGACUAAGGGAUACCCUAAACCCUCUUCUUCCAACAUCAAAUGCAGUUUGCACUACGCGCUCGAAAAGAUAAAUUAAAAACAAAAUCCCUUCGCAGGGCUUGAACUGGCAACUGACCGCAUUACUUGCUGCCGACUCUACGCAAAACAAAAGUAGUUUCCCCCUAGAGAAAACAUCUAAUUAAACCAACUGCACAGAAAACAGUAAAAUCUCAAUUACAAUGCUGUUCACAGAAUUUCAAAAAAUGCGUAUGUGUAUGUGUAUGCAGAAAUUCCCGCGAUUUGCGCUUGCUACCUAAAACUCGAGGCCAGCAAAAACAUAUUUUAUUUAAUAACUUCUGUGUUUCUUUACUGAUCUUGGUGCAAUUUUCUGCAAAUUAUUGAACCAUAGAAUAUUCGUGUAUUAUAAAAGGCCAAUUGCAUUUAUUCUGUGGCUUAUAUUGGUGGGUAGCAUAAAUUGAUUAAUUAAAUUGAUUUAUAUCUAUGGAUUAGUAUCGUGUAGGUGGCGAUAGGUAUAAAAUUAAAGAUACUUGACAUAUAUAUAAUAUGCCUGAGUAAACAUAUCACUUUUGGUGACUCUAGCUCUUAUUAAAUAACUAGCUUGCUCAAAAAACCAGGAUUUCGAAACCAAUUUUUUUUGAUUGCUUAGAAACGAAGUAAGUUAUCGAUUAUCGGAAACAAGGUCGAGCUGCGCAUGUACUAAGAACACCUACAGCUAAAAUUUCAUUUUUAAAUUUUACUACGCAGUUGGAUGGAGUGCAAAUUCGAAAAACAUAUUACAUGUGCACAUGUACACAUGUACUCACCCACAUUCAUUUGCUUCGUAUUCUAUCAACAGCUUGCCAUUGCGAUUGUUUUCAGUGCUGCUAUUUUAAUGCGUUUUUUUUCUUCUCAAUAAUACUUAAUUAUU